AUACUUACCUGGCAAAGGAGACACCAUUAUCAUGAAGGUGGUUUUCCCAAGGUCAGGCUUAUCCAUUGCACUGUGGGUGUGCUGACCACUGUGAUUUCCCCAAAUGCAGGAAACUUGACUGCAUAGUUUGUAGUAGUGUGGGACUACGUUCACGCUCUCCCUUG
rnacentral:snRNA from 1 species